rnacentral:rRNA from 1 species
UGGGGAAUAUUGCACAAUGGGCGGAAGCCUGAUGCAGCGACGCCGCGUGGGGGAUGAAGGCCUUCGGGUUGUAAACUCCUUUCGACAGGGACGAAGCUUUUGUGACGGUACCUGUAUAAGAAGCACCGGCUAACUACGUGCCAGCAGCCGCGGUAAUACGUAGGGUGCGAGCGUUGUCCGGAAUUACUGGGCGUAAAGAGCUCGUAGGUGGUUUGUCGCGUCGUCUGUGAAAUUCCGGGGCUUAACUCCGGGCGUGCAGGCGAUACGGGCUGACUUGAGUGCUGUAGUGGAGACUGGAAUUCCUGGUGUAGCGGUGAAAUGCGCAGAUAUCAGGAGGAACACCGAUGGCGAAGGCAGGUCUCUGGGCAGUAACUGACGCUGAGGAGCGAAAGCAUGGGUAGCGAACAGG